CUCCUCGGUUCAAGCGAUUCUUGUGCCUCAGCCACCAGAGUAGCUGGGAUUACAGUUGAAAGCUUAAAGACAAUCUUGGAUUCUGAAUCUCUGACACUUCCAUGGUCUCUUGAUCAAAUGGGGCAGCAGCAGGCAAGGAAGCAAACACGGGGGCCACUCCAGAUUAUCUUACUCAAGACCACCACCAAGAAGAAGGGAAGGCCUACAAUGGCAGAGACAUGGAGGUCAAUGUGGGAUGGGGAGAUUUCGGUCCCAGAGGUAAGAGAAAGGGCAGUCCACACUCUCGGUUUAUGGCCUUGAAGUCGAGCAAGCUAUACUAAGACAACAGGGCUGUAUAGUAUUCCAUUGAAGAGAAUGGAAACUCUGUGUGUGUAAGACUUGGCUGCAAUGCAAGAAGCUUUGCCUUUGUACUGGACUGGAAUGGACUGGAGCCAGACAUUCUCCCCUCCCCUGGCCUUUUCAGCUGGCAGAGCUGCUGCAUUUCAGGACAGGGAACAAAUAGUGUCACAUGCUCAACAGGCACAUAAAUAUUUGCUGCCAAAUUUCCAGUGCUCCCCAGACCCAUGUUUUCAUGUAAAACCUCUUUUCUCUUGCCUGGACUACUACUGCAGUGGACUCCACACUGGCCUCCAGCCCAUCCUCCACAAUGCUGCCAGAAUCAUCUUCUGAACAUGAAAAUUCAACUACAAUAUUCUGCUGAAAAUCCUUCAGUGGUUCAUGUUGGUCUGAUUCUUUUUUGGAGGGUCAAUGCCCCUUUUGAGAAUCUCAGGAACACAAUGGACUCCUUCCCCAGAGGGGAGAAAUUACUUCAUGCCUGAAAGUCAGCCCCUGCUCUCAGAAUAACAUACGAACUGCUAAGCUUGGCACUAGCUUUCACUACUGGCCCUGGCCUCUCUCCAGCCUUCUUACUGUUUGCUUUUCAUAUUUUCCUGCUUCAGUCAUAUUGAAUUAUUUGCAGCUUCCUCCACACUUCCUGCUGUUUGCUGCCUUUGUGACUUUGCAUAGGCUGUUCCCUUUGCCUGGAAUGCCCUGCCCAGUUUUAGCCACCUGACCAGUUACAUUCUUUCUUUACUAAACUGAAGCAUCAUCUCUUCUGUAGUCUACCCAGCCACUCCAGGAAGAUCUGGGCAUGUAUCUAAAACCUCCAAUACAGGGCUUUAUUGUACUGCAAUUGUCAGUUUUCCCAAGAGACUGAGUUCCUUGAAGGAAGGAACUGGACUUUUCAAAUCUGUUGCCUCGUAUGCAGCAUGGGACCUAUCUUAAUUCAUCAGCACUUAGUUGUGCAAUGAAUAGAGCCCAACUGCUACCAACACAUCUUUCCUCAUCUUCCCCCAUGGGAAUCUCGCAUCUACAGGUAAUUCCAGAAUGAAAGACAGUGUUUCCUAAACCGUAGUCAUUCAGAUAGCACCUUCACAACUGUUACAGUAUCUAUCAUCCACAGGUACAAUUUACUUUUUAAGCUAAUCACUAUUCGAACUUCAAUAUUGCCUCACUGUAAGCUGUAAUAACUGUAAAAUUAUGUAUUGUGCUAAUUCUAUCUUUUUUCCUAAGAUUCAAAUAUUAAAAGACAGUCAUCCCAGCACUAACUAGUGUUUCCCACACUCCUCUAUUAAGAAGCACGUGAGAUACUUGGUACAAACAUAACAUCCUGAGUCCCACCCCAAAGCCACAUCAAAUGCUCCAGGGAAGGGAUCUGGGAAUUCGUAGGUUUAACAAGUGCCCCAAAAUGAUUAUUAUCUGUUGGAGAAUCUAGGCAACAAUGAAUUAACGAAAGCUCUCCACCACUUGGUACUGGUACCAGGUUUGAGGAUCACAGGGAAGGGGGAUAGCAUAUCAGACUAGCAGAGUUGCCAGAACUCAGGCUUUCAAAAGAGAGGUGCCACCCUCUCCCAUGUAUAUGUAAGUAGCAAAGAACCCAUUCAGACUACAGUAGGAGAAUCCUGAGGGUAGAGGUUCAUUUAUGCUAUACAUAUCCAAAUUCAUUAUAACAAGUUUUCCAAGGACUGGGCACAGUGGUUCAUGCCUGUAAUUCCAACAUUUUCGGAGGCUGAGGUGGGAAGAUCGCUUGAGGCCAGGAGUUUGAGACCAGCCUGGACAACAUGGUGAGACCCCAUG